AUCAGCUUGGCUUGGAUUGACGCUGGAGAGCAGGAAGAGCUGAGGAUGGAGAUGGGCACAGAAGCAUCCCUGCAGGAAGACCCGCGUGGUCCAGGCAGCCUGGGUGGUCUUGGCUGAGACGAAUCCUAUUUCCAUUCCCCUUGGCUCAGUGUAUGCUCACAGAGUUGCUGUGGCUCAGUUGUCAUUGCUGUUUAGCUACAGAGGUUUCCCUGGGUUUAUAAAAGACUGCAUUUCCCUUCAGCAUGACAGCUGCAGCUUCACCUCUUCUCGUGUGAACCUGGAGUCAGGGCCAAGCCAGAGAAAAGAAGCCAACACCUUUGGGCAAAGAAAACAACAAAAUCUAAGGAGAAGAGCCAGGAAGAAGGGAGGGAAGAGAUGUUCAUGGAAAAAUCUACCUCUAAAAGUCCUACGCUGUCCAGCAAUAGCUUUUUCUUUUCUUGAGAAAUCUGCAUGUAAAACCAAUGCAAUGUUUUACAUAUUUAUUCAGUUUUCCUCACUGAAAGGAUACUCCAGCUGUUGAGAAAACAUUUAGUGCCAAUAAAGUCUCCGGAGCUCUCAAAUAAUGUGCUUGGUUAUUCUAUUAAUGGAAUAUUAGAUUAGGGAGUUUGGGUUAAAUACAGCAUAGAGCAACAACAAUGUUCAGCCCAGAUCUCAGAUGUUUUUGUGUUACUGGUUAAUCCAUGAAUUGAGGAGGCCAGGUGUUUAGAAGUCACAUACUUGAUAAGGAAACAGGUGUCCACUUGUCUGAGU